GGUAAUUUCUGGGGGCUGGGCUUCAAGAAGUACCUCAAAGAGAAGUGACAGUAAGAACUGAAAGAGACUUUGGGGAUCAGCCAAAAUUUAGCUUGGAUUGCUGUUUAAAAACAAACCCAUGUGACUUCUGGUUGCAGAUUCUAAUGGAGAUAGAACUGGUGAGCUGGAGAAAAGAUCUCAUCUCAUCUUGACUAGAUUAUAGUGUUCAUUUCUAGUCACUGUGGUUAAAGAAGAACACUGAUAAGCUGGAAUGUGUCCAGGGAAGGACAGCCAUGAUAGUAAAGGCCUGGAGUCCAUGACAAAUAAAAAUCAGUUGAAGGAGCUGGAUAUGUUUAAUUGGAAGCAAAGAAAACACAGGGAAAGGCCUGGAGAGACUUACAUGAACUGAUGCUGAGUGAAAUGAGCAGGACCAGGAG
rnacentral:lncRNA from 1 species